UACGGAGGGAGCUAGCGUUAUUCGGAAUUACUGGGCGUAAAGCGCACGUAGGCGGCUUUGUAAGUAAGAGGUGAAAGCCUGGAGCUCAACUCCAGAACUGCCUUUUAGACUGCAUCGCUUGAAUCCAGGAGAGGUGAGUGGAAUUCCGAGUGUAGAGGUGAAACUCGUAGAUAUUCGGAAGAACACCAGUGGCGAAGGCGGCUCACUGGACUGGUAUUGACGCUGAGGUGCGAAAGCGUGGGGAGCAAACAGG
rnacentral:rRNA from 1 species